AAGUCGUAACAAGGUUUCCGUAGGUGAACCUGCGGAAGGAUCAUUAAUGAUUUUUAAAGCGAGUCGAAGCGUUAAGCGAGGCUUGCGAAAAUAUUUAAAACCCCACUCUUUUAACUUUUAAAAAAUAAAUCAUGAUACAUGAAUUUAAAAAAAAAGAUCACUUUCAACAACGGAUCUCUUGGCUCUC
rnacentral:misc_RNA from 1 species